UAUAUACCUUCCUGACUUCUCACCUACAACAGUGGCUCGCCUGUCGUGCGAAGUAUGUCCGUUUGUUUUUAAAUUUAAAACUUAUUCGCAGACGCAAAAAAUAACAAAGUACCGCGUGCUAUAUCUACGUAUUUUGUUUUUUUUUUGUUUUUUAAAGGUCAAGUGCACCGGCCGGCGGCGUAUUUCAAUACGGUAUAAACUUUAUUUUUAAUAUAUACCGGAAAAGAUUAUCAUUUUGUUUUAAACGAUAAAGUUUUAUUAACACUCACCGACCGCCACAAGCGGCGGGGUAGAUUUCAUUAAAUCCAAUUUUAAGGUCGGAUAUUUUAACGGGUAGCCGUCAAACGAU